AAGUUCGAACGAGGUCCAACUAGUCGCAAGACCGGUGAAGACCUAGUGGCGAACGGGUGCGUAACACGUGAGAAACCUGUCCCGGUCUCCGGAAUAACAAGUGGAAACACUUGCUAAUACUGGAUGACGUCGGAUCAUCGCAUGAUGAUCUGACGAAAGGGUUACCGGAUCGGGAGGGUCUCGCGGCCUAUCAGCUCGUUGGUGGGGUAACGGCCCACCAAGGCUUCGACGGGUAGCUGGUCUGAGAGGAUGAUCAGCCACACUGGGACUGAGACACGGCCCAGACUCCUACGGGAGGCAGCAGUGGGGAAUCUUGCACAAUGGGCGAAAGCCUGAUGCAGCAACGCCGCGUGCGGGAAGAAGGCCUUAGGGUUGUAAACCGCUUUCAGCAGGGAAGAAACUGACGGUACCUGCAGAAGAAGGUGCGGCCAACUACGUGCCAGCAGCCGCGGUGACACGUAGGCACCAAGCGUUGUCCGGAUUUAUUGGGCGUAAAGAGCUCGUAGGCGGUUCGGUAAGUCGGGUGUGAAAACUCUGGGCUCAACCCAGAGCCGCCACCCGAUACUGCUGUGACUCGAGUGCGGUAGGGGAGCGGGGAAUUCCUGGUGUAGCGGUGAAAUGCGCAGAUAUCAGGAGGAACA
rnacentral:rRNA from 1 species